GUGACAGCCCCGUACACAAAAAUGCACAUACUGUGAGCUCGAUGAGUAGGGCGGGACACGUGGUAUCCUGUCUGAAUAUGGGGGGACCAUCCUCCAAGGCUAAAUACUCCUGACUGACCGAUAGUGAACCAGUACCGUGAGGGAAAGGCGAAAAGAACCCCGGCGAGGGGAGUGAAAAAGAACCUGAAACCGUGUACGUACAAGCAGUGGGAGCACGCUUAGGCGUGUGACUGCGUACCUUUUGUAUAAUGGGUCAGCGACUUAUAUUCUGUAGCAAGGUUAACCGAAUAGGGGAGCCGAAGGGAAACCGAGUCUUAACUGGGCGUUAAGUUGCAGGGUAUAGACCCGAAACCCGGUGAUCUAGCCAUGGGCAGGUUGAAGGUUGGGUAACACUAACUGGAGGACCGAACCGACUAAUGUUGAAAAAUUAGCGGAUGACUUGUGGCUGGGGGUGAAAGGCCAAUCAAACCGGGAGAUAGCUGGUUCUCCCCGAAAGCUAUUUAGGUAGCGCCUCGUGAAUUCAUCUCCGGGGGUAGAGCACUGUUUCGGCAAGGGGGUCAUCCCGACUUACCAACCCGAUGCAAACUGCGAAUACCGGAGAAUGUUAUCACGGGAGACACACGGCGGGUGCUAACGUCCGUCGUGAAGAGGGAAACAACCCAGACCGCCAGCUAAGGUCCCAAAGUCAUGGUUAAGUGGGAAACGAUGUGGGAAGGCCCAGACAGCCAGGAUGUUGGCUUAGAAGCAGCCAUCAUUUAAAGAAAGCGUAAUAGCUCACUGGUCGAGUCGGCCUGCGCGGAAGAUGUAACGGGGCUAAACCAUGCACCGAAGCUGCGGCAGCGACGCUUAUGCGUUGUUGGGUAGGGGAGCGUUCUGUAAGCCUGUGAAGGUGUACUGUGAGGUAUGCUGGAGGUAUCAGAAGUGCGAAUGCUGACAUAAGUAACGAUAAAGCGGGUGAAAAGCCCGCUCGCCGGAAGACCAAGGGUUCCUGUCCAACGUUAAUCGGGGCAGGGUGAGUCGACCCCUAAGGCGAGGCCGAAAGGCGUAGUCGAUGGGAAACAGGUUAAUAUUCCUGUACUUGGUGUUACUGCGAAGGGGGGACGGAGAAGGCUAUGUUGGCCGGGCGACGGUUGUCCCGGUUUAAGCGUGUAGGCUGGUUUUCCAGGCAAAUCCGGAAAAUCAAGGCCGAGGCGUGAUGACGAGGCACUACGGUGCUGAAGCAACAAAUGCCCUGCUUCCAGGAAAAGCCUCUAAGCAUCAGGUAACAUCAAAUCGUACCCCAAACCGACACAGGUGGUCAGGUAGAGAAUACCAAGGCGCUUGAGAGAACUCGGGUGAAGGAACUAGGCAAAAUGGUGCCGUAACUUCGGGAGAAGGCACGCUGAUACGUAGGUGAAGCGACUUGCUCGUGGAGCUGAAAUCAGUCGAAGAUACCAGCUGGCUGCAACUGUUUAUUAAAAACACAGCACUGUGCA
rnacentral:rRNA from 1 species